UGAGAAAGUCUAUGAACCACGAUGGGGCAAGGAAGGUCAUGACGGGACAUGCGCCUCAGACGAAGUCACUGGAUUUUGUCCUGUAAGCAGCUGAAGAGCCCCUGAUGUCAUCGGAAGGAAAGAACAAUGAACAAAUUCGUAAAUUAGCCUUCAGUUAAUACUUUGAUUCCUGAGGUUGAUGCUUGGGUGAAACGAAGUUGGUAACUAGGCUGGCUCCAAGGACAUAGGACAGACACAAACAUAGUUGGUUUCUGAUACUUCAUUGGUAGCUAAGACACGGAAGCAACCUUUGAGCUAAUCUUGACUGCUGUCCUCCAUCCCUGCUUGUGAACCUGCUUCAUAGUCAAAGUCACCAUUCCGCAACUGAAUCCGCAGUAAAUUCCCAGCAACCUUCUUUCAGUUCUGAGAGCACACUGGGCUCUCAGUCCACGUCUGCAACGUCAGCCCCAUCGUCCCUCCUCCAGUUCCCGCUUGCUCACCUACGAGGAUUACUCAAAACAUCGGUGACUGCUGUGUCUGGAAGUUUUGGGGUUUCCAAAUGAAAAUGCAGAGGCAAACUAGGUAAUAUGUCUUCGUGAAGCUACAGUUUGUCUUAAGAAGAAUGAAUUUCUUGGGGCGCCUGGGUGGCUCAGUCGGUUGAGCGUCCGACUUCGGCUCAG